rnacentral:lncRNA from 1 species
AAUGUUUUACUAAGAGAAAAGCUGAGGCAAUGUUUAAUGUUGUAUCUAUCAUACCAUGGAGUUUGAUACAAAAACCAGGAAGUUCAGUCAGGACACAAUUAUUAAGCCAAUUUUACUUCACUCCCCUUUUAAAAGUAACUCCUAAAUAGGGGACACAAAAUUCACUAGACAUCUCCCUUCUGCUCCAUGGCAUUUUAUAAGGACACUAGGAACUGUGUGUUUCUCUCCUUCUGCCUCAGAGGCAAUUUUGGAUUGUAGAAAUCUCUAAGGUGCUUAUUGUCCUUGGGGUUUUUAUCAUUUAAAUGCCCAAAUUCUGUUUUUCACUGACCUAGCUCACUUUCUGCAUGAACAGCUUUAGUACCCACUUCACUGUGGGGUAAGGUUAGCUAUUAGCACCAGUAUUAAGCAGAUCCUUCCUAAGAACACUCUGUAAAUAGCAGGGGGUAGGGAGAAUGGUAAGGAAAAAACAACACUCAUUUAGCAGUCAAGCGCAGGACUGUACUGCCCCCGUGGGAUUUUCAUGUUUAAGGAAUAUGGUCUUAAUGCCCACCUUGUGGCAAUAUCUAUCUAGCUAACAUCCAUUCCCUCCCCCAGCUGAUUUGGGUAGGGGGCGGGGCAGGAGACAAACAGCAAAGUUAUCUUGUUAGCAAAAAACAAAACAAAAACAUGGUCUUCUUCUC